GAGAACCAAGAUAUCCAUUGUUAACAGUUGUUGUUUCCGUAGGUGAACCUGCGGAAGGAUCAUUAACACGUAUCCAACGUUAAACCCCCCUGUGAACUAUUGUCGUGCUCUCGUAGACCUUGAACAGCAAUCCCUGGUAAAUCAUUGACGAACAGCGUUUGAUUGAGGGACCUCUGUUUGAGAGGGCUACGAAUGUUGCGCUAGGAUCAGAGGCGACUU
rnacentral:misc_RNA from 1 species